rnacentral:sRNA from 1 species
CCUGCCGCGCCCCCGGGACGCAGCGCGCACGCAACCGCGUUUCCGGCGAGACCUGGGUGCUGUGUCCCGCGGCUUGCCCUCCAUUGUGCACCCUGCGGGCCUUCGGGAGGUCGGCAGGGUGCCGUCCCUGGCUGCAGGGCUGCUCUUCGGCAGUCUAGCCGGCCUGGGUGCUUACCAGCUGUAUCAGGAUCCAAGGAACGUUUGGGGUUUCCUAGCCGCUACAUCUGUUACUUUUGUUGGUGUUAUGGGAAUGAGAUCCUACUACUAUGGAAAAUUCAUGCCUGUAGGUUUAAUUGCAGGUGCCAGUUUGCUGAUGGCCGCCAAAGUUGGAGUUCGUAUGUUGAUGACAUCUGAUUAGCAGAAGUCAUGUUCCAGCUUGGACUCAUGAAGGAUUAAAAAUCUGCAUCUUCCACUAUUUUCAAUGUAUUAAGAGAAAUAAGUGCAGCAUUUUUGCA